rnacentral:rRNA from 1 species
GUAAUGCCUAGGAAUCUGCCUGGUAGUGGGGGAUAACGCUCGGAAACGGACGCUAAUACCGCAUACGUCCUACGGGAGAAAGCAGGGGACCUUCGGGCCUUGCGCUAUCAGAUGAGCCUAGGUCGGAUUAGCUAGUUGGUGAGGUAAUGGCUCACCAAGGCGACGAUCCGUAACUGGUCUGAGAGGAUGAUCAGUCACACUGGAACUGAGACACGGUCCAGACUCCUACGGGAGGCAGCAGUGGGGAAUAUUGGACAAUGGGCGAAAGCCUGAUCCAGCCAUGCCGCGUGUGUGAAGAAGGUCUUCGGAUUGUAAAGCACUUUAAGUUGGGAGGAAGGGCAUUAACCUAAUACGUUAGUGUUUUGACGUUACCGACAGAAUAAGCACCGGCUAACUCUGUGCCAGCAGCCGCGGUAAUACAGAGGGUGCAAGCGUUAAUCGGAAUUACUGGGCGUAAAGCGCGCGUAGGUGGUUCGUUAAGUUGGAUGUGAAAUCCCCGGGCUCAACCUGGGAACUGCAUUCAAAACUGUCGAGCUAGAGUAUGGUAGAGGGUGGUGGAAUUUCCUGUGUAGCGGUGAAAUGCGUAGAUAUAGGAAGGAACACCAGUGGCGAAGGCGACCACCUGGACUGAUACUGACAC